CUUUNNUCAUUUAGAGGAAGUAAAAGUCGUAUNUCCGUUUCCGNAGAGNGAACCUGCGGAAGGAUCAUUACUAGAGCAAAGGACAGGNUUCNCCCCACAGAAGCUUGCUUCGUGGAGGGCUACCCUACUUCGGUAGGGUUUAGAGCCGUAGCACCUCUCGGAGAAGUGCUGUCCUGAACUCCGCCCUUGAAUAAAUUACCUUUGUUGCUUUGGCGGGCCGCCUAGCGCCAGCGGCUUCGGCUGUUGAGUGCCCGCCAGAGGACCACAACUCUUGUUUUUAGUGAUGUCUGAGUACUAUAUAAUAGUUAAAACUUUCAACAACGGAUCUCUUGGUUCUGGCAUCGAUGAAGAACGCAGCGAAAUGCGAUAAGUAAUGUGAAUUGCAGAAUUCAGUGAAUCAUCGAAUCUUUGAACGCACAUUGCGCCCUCUGGUAUUCCGGGGGGCAUGCCUGUUCGAGCGUCAUUAUAACCACUCAAGCUCUCGCUUGGUAUUGGGGUUCGCGGUUCCGCGGCCCCUAAAAUCAGUGGCGGUGCCUGUCGGCUCUACGCGUAGUAAUACUCCUCGCGAUUGAGUCCGGUAGGGUUUACUUGCCAGCAACCCCCNANUUUUUACAGGUUGACCUCGGNAUCAGGUAGGGGAUACCCCGCUGAACUUAAGCAUAUCAAUAAGCGGAAGGNAAAGGCNAAAUUCNCGGCCCCUAAAAUUCAAUCCNCCCCUANAGGG
rnacentral:rRNA from 1 species